rnacentral:rRNA from 1 species
GGAUUGCUACAGCCAUUGCCGAUACCCGAAUGGAAGUGGGAUAAAAUAGGCAUGGAUUUUAUCACCGGAUUACCCAGGACUCGUUCAGGCUAUGACUCAAUAUGGGUUGUAGUCGACCGUUUGACGAAAGUGGCUCAUUUCAUUCCAGUAAAGACCACUUACACCAGUGCUAAGUUGGCAAAGAUAUACAUGACCAGGAUCGUAUGUUUGCAUGGAGUUCCGAGGACCAUUGUAUCAGACAGAGGAACCCAGUUUACUUCGAAGUUUUGGAAGCAGUUACAUGAAACAUUGGGAGCCAGGCUGGAAUUUAGUACAACAUUUCACCCGCAGACAGAUGGACAGACCGAGAGAGUCAACCAGAUUUUGGAGGACAUGUUGAGAGCAUGCGCACUAGAUUAUGGAUCCAGUUGGGACGACAAUUUGCCAUAUGCGGAG